CCUACGGGUGGCUGCAGUGGGGGAUAUUGCACAAUGGGGGGAACCCUGAUGCAGCGACGCCGCGUGGGUGAAGAAGUAUUUCGGUGUGUAAAGCUCUAUCAGCAGGGAAGAAAAUGACAGUACCUGAACAAGAAGCCCCGGCUAACUACGUGCCAGCAGCCGCGGUAAUACGUAGGGGGCAAGCGUUAUCCGGAUUUACUGGGUGUAAAGGGGGCGUAGACGGGUAUGUAAGUCUGGAGUGAAAGCCCGGGGCCCAACCCCGGGACUGCUUUUGAAACUGUGUAACUGGAGUGCAGGAGGGGCAGGCGGAAUUCCUGGUGUAGCGGUGAAAUGCGUAGAUAUCAGGAGGAACACCGGUGGCGAAGGCGGCCUGCUGGACUGCAACUGACGUUGAGGCUCGAAAGCGUGGGGAGCAAACAGGAUUAGAUACCCGAGUAGUC
rnacentral:rRNA from 1 species